rnacentral:rRNA from 1 species
UACAGAGGUCUCAACCGUUGUUCGGAUUCAUUGGGCGUAAAGGGUGCGUAGGCGGUCGUGCAAGUCGGAUGUGAAAUCUCAGGGCUCAACCCUGAAACUGCAUUCGAUACUGCGCGGCUAGAGUGCUGGAGGGGAGACUGGAAUUUACGGUGUAGCAGUGAAAUGCGUAGAUAUCGUAAGGAAGACCAGUGGCGAAAGCGAGUCUCUGGCUAGCAGCUGACACUGAGGCACGAAAGCGUGGGGAGCAAACAGG